rnacentral:rRNA from 1 species
GGACCCGCACAAGUAGUGGAGCAUGUGGUUUAAUUCGAAGAUACGCGCAGAACCUUACCAACACUUGACAUGUUCGUCGCGACUCUAAGAGAUUAGAGUUUUCGGUUCGGCCGGACGAAACACAGGUGCUGCAUGGCUGUCGUCAGCUCGUGUCGUGAGAUGUUGGGUUAAGUCCCGCAACGAGCGCAACCCUCACUUUUAGUUGCCAUCAUUAAGUUGGGCACUCUGAAAGAACUGCCAGUGAUAAGCUGGAGGAAGGUGGGGAUGACGUCAAGUCCUCAUGGCCCUUACGUGUUGGGCUACACACGUGCUACAAUGGUCGGUACAGAGGGCAGCUACCCCGCGAGGGGAUGCAAAUCUCGAAAGCCGAUCUCAGUUCGGAUUGGAGUCUGCAACUCGACUCUAUGAAGCUGGAAUCGCUAGUAA